rnacentral:rRNA from 1 species
CGUGCCCUACGGGAGGCAGCAGUGGGGAAUAUUGCACAAUGGGGGAAACCCUGAUGCAGCAACGCCGCGUGAGUGAAGAAGUAUUUCGGUAUGUAAAGCUCUAUCAGCAGGGAAGAAGAUGACGGUACCUGACCAAGAAGCCCCGGCUAACUACGUGCCAGCAGCCGCGGUAAUACGUAGGGGGCAAGCGUUAUCCGGAUUUACUGGGUGUAAAGGGAGCGCAGACGGCAGUGCAAGUCUGGAGUGAAAGCCCGGGGCCCAACCCCGGAACUGCUCUGGAACCUGUGCGGCUACAGUACUGGCGG